UUCAAGGUAGUCUUGCUAGUUACCAAGCAACAUUUUGUGUAGCAUUGUAUAGAAUUAUGCACUGCUAGUUUGACUAAUACAGAUUGAAUGCAUGGUAAUGACUUUGUUUUUGUAUUUCACUUUCAUUCAAGUACCUUCUCUCUUCUCCUAUAUCAGUUUGUAGUAGCUAUUGUAGGAUGAUAUUACAGCUUAAUCCUGAUAUGCUUUCUUAAUAGGAAACAACUAUUUUCUGUUGUGGAUUAUUUUCGUUCAUUUAUAUAUCGAAAGAUUUGCACAACUCAAUUGGAUGAGAAAGUACAGAAUUCUCCUCAAUGAAGUAUGGAGCACAAGUGGACCGGGCCUCAUUAGGAAGAGUACGAGCAAAGGUGUUUUCUUUUCUGUUAGUAUGAGCAAAGGUGUGUUCUCAUCAGCAUGUGCUAAGAUGUAAUUAAGGUUACAGAGGAAACAGGGAAUGGGAAUUGAACAACUGAGGAUUUGUAUGAGCUCCAGAAUGUCAGAUUUGACCAAAACAUUGCAAAGCUUUAGCUGCUGCUUUUUCUGUAACCUGUCCAAGACAGCCCAGCAUUCAGGAUGAAGGGGACUGCUUGCAUGAUGGGUGGUGCUAGCACUAGCAAUGGUGGCCCCUUGAAAUUUUAGAAACGGAUUUCAAAACCUGCAAGAGAUUUAAGAUUAGAGAAGGAUCUGUCACACAAAAGUGAAAGCAAAGACUCCACCUUGUUAGAUUCCCUUCCAUAUGCAAGUGGAGAGUGAGGGUCCUCAGAGCUUUUAGGGGAGACUAAACAUAAAACUUUGAACCAUAGGGUUAUUAAUUGGGAUGUGCGGCUGCUGUAUCUAGAGUGUUUUUAUGUUCUUCCGGAGGAAAUGCUUAUGAUAGAAGCAAUGGUAGUAGGGUAAGAUUUGCCCAAAUGACUUCACUCACUAAGCCAAUCUCCAUUGGGCCAGAUCAGGAGAAUAUUAUAUUGCUUACUUUUA